rnacentral:rRNA from 1 species
AGGGAACGCUGGCGGUAGGCCUAACACAUGCAAGUCGAACGGCAGCACAGUAAGAGCUUGCUCUUACGGGUGGCGAGUGGCGGACGGGUGAGGAAUACAUCGGAAUCUACUUUUUCGUGGGGGAUAACGUAGGGAAACUUACGCUAAUACCGCAUACGACCUACGGGUGAAAGCAGGGGAUCUUCGGACCUUGCGCGAUUGAAUGAGCCGAUGUCGGAUUAGCUAGUUGGCGGGGUAAAGGCCCACCAAGGCGACGAUCCGUAGCUGGUCUGAGAGGAUGAUCAGCCACACUGGAACUGAGACACGGUCCAGACUCCUACGGGAGGCAGCAGUGGGGAAUAUUGGACAAUGGGCGCAAGCCUGAUCCAGCCAUACCGCGUGGGUGAAGAAGGCCUUCGGGUUGUAAAGCCCUUUUGUUGGGAAAGAAAAGCAGCAGGUUAAUACCCCGCUGUUCUGACGGUACCCAAAGAAUAAGCACCGGCUAACUUCGUG